CGGCAGGCCUAAUACAUGCAAGUCGAACGGUAACAUUGGUGCUUGCACCAGAUGACGAGUGGCGCACGGGUGCGUAACGCGUAUGCAAUCUACCUUUUACUAAAGUAUAGCCCAGAGAAAUUUGGAUUAAUCCUCUAUAAUAUCUUUUAAUUUCAUGAUUUUAAGAUUAAAGUUUUAACGGUAAAAGAUGAGCAUGCGUCCUAUUAGUUUGUAGGUGAGGUAACGGCUCACCUAGACUACGAUAGGUAGGGGCCCUGAGAGGGGGAUCCCCCACACUGGUACUGAGACACGGACCAGACUCCUACGGGAGGCAGCAGUAAGGAAUAUUGGACAAUGGACGAAAGUCUGAUCCAGCCAUGCCGCGUGCAGGAUGAAAGCCCUACGGGUUGUAAACUGCUUUUAUACAGGAAGAAACACUCCGACGUGUCGGAGCUUGACGGUACUGUAAGAAUAAGGAUCGGC
rnacentral:rRNA from 1 species